ACGGAAGUAGAAACUGGACGAUGGAAAUUGGAAGUACGUGGCAUGGCACAGUGCCUGCACCCACAUGAUUAGAGGAACGAGUGCUCGAGAACGACGCCCGCGGCCGGUGUGAUUUAAUUUCAUCUUGUUCCGCAGAGAUUAAUAGUUGAAGUGUGUUGUUCGAUGAGAGUAUAGGGAUGCACUAUGCGGGUAGCUUCGAGACCGAAAUGAAUCGUGAAAGACAUCGAUAGAAAUAAUUAUUGUGGAAGUGAGCCUAGUUUGGUGGACUUUUAAUAAUACGCGUCGAAGAAUUGGGCUUCUAUACGUGAAAUUGGCCUGGCGGGCAGCAGAAUCGGCGGGCAUAAUCGAGGUUGCCAAACUGACAGGCGACAAGCUCCUGCGGUCGUCGUCUUCGGUUCCAAAUCGACUGGAUGCUAGUUUCGUGGAAUUUUUCAACGUUAUCGCGGAGAACAGGACGACAGGAUCUUCUGAACGUCUUUAUGCCAAGAAUAAAUGCAGGAAAACAAGAUUGCAUACUGACAUGUAAUAAUAUAUAUCUUUAAUAAUCGCCUGAUUUCGGUUUAUGAGGUUUCAGAGAACGAAGGAUCACACUUAAUGUAUGAGAUGUAUUAUAUAUUAUAACAGUAUUAGUAUUAAUAUAACAGUAGAAGUAUUAUUAUAAACGAUGUAUUAUACAAAUAUUAUAGAAUCAGAUACGUAAAAUCGUAUACAAGUUUAAUUAAGAAAGAAAGAUGAAAUAACUAAUACGCGAAAUAAAACUGAACCAAUACCGAUGUACCUAUAUGUAUCUUGUUGCAUAGGAAAACCUUUAAGCGGCGAAU
rnacentral:misc_RNA from 1 species